rnacentral:lncRNA from 13 species
ACUGACUUAUAGGCUCAUUCUCCUAAUCAGUAAGUCACCAUCGACUUCCCCUCAAGCCCAUAAAACGUGAUGCUACCAGCCACAGCCAUGCCACUGGCUCUUCCUGCCACAGCCCGUGUGCUGCCAAGCCCUAUGUGUGCACCAGUCAGCAGAUGCAGUCCUCACUUCUCAGUAAACUAACUGGAAGGUGACAGAAGCAACAGAAAACCUUUCUCCCCUUUAGUGUUGCUGGCAAGAUAAGCAGCACAGGAACAUGUUUGCCUGGGAGAUCAUCACGUGUCAGGAGGCAUUAAAUGGGUCCAAGCAACUUCAGAGCCUGCUGUGCAAGACAGGAGAUGCACAUAAAGUCACUGCUUGUGUCUUGGUAUUGCUGUGUUAUUCAGACAUUGGAAAGCAAACAUCAAACUUCCAUGAAGAUAGGACUUCCAGAUCACUCUGAAGACAAUAUUUUCAUUGCACUGCGCAUACAAGAGCAAAGAGCACUCAAGAUCUGCUGAGUUAAAUGAGUACAACGUCACAGCUUUUAGAUUCUCUUUCACAGUAGUACUUCUCGCAGUGUUAUUCCACAACCACUGGAGAUGUUGAAGUUCAUAGAGUAAUAGCUCAGUAUGUCAGCCUACUGUCUGAAACAUGAAUCUCUAUGAUGACUGCCUUCAUUUUAAGCACAGAUGCAGAUGGAUAGGUUUAAUUUAGUUUGCUAAAAAUGCCUUAAAUGGGUUUAUCCAAAAUGGUUAAGAAACGUUAAAAAUGUAAAAUCUACUUUUUUUAAUGUCAAAGAACAAAACAAGACAGAUAAAUGACAGCUCAGGCUGAAGUGGUACAGGAAAGCUUGAAUUCAAAAUUGACCAGUAUAAAUGAGAAUUGUUUUAUCAAUGAUUUUUAUUGCAUCUGAUUUGAACAAAACCCAAAGGAUUAAAACCCAAGAUAUUUCUUCAACCCUGCUGCUGAAUUUUCCUUUCUGUUACUGUUGUACAUGGAGAAAAUCAGUGAUGAUGACGUUUGUUUAGAUGCCUGGAAUUAAAGUGCUAGAUGGAAUAUUUAUUUGCUUAAAACCCACCAUAUCUCUUCAUUGCUCAAGGUGGUGGGGAGGCAAGAUUUUAUUGGUCUUGAUGCCAGUGAUAGGCACUGUAAUUUCUCUGGGGAAAUGACUAACUACAUUCUGCAAAAGCUUUGAUGGUUGUUAUGGUUGUUUUAGUACCAGGCAAAGGAAGAUCUGAGACUUUUAAAAAGUUCUAUUUUAAGAGUGUGUGAGAUAAACGGAGAAGUAAUGUGUUCAGACUUUUUUUUUUUAAACUGAUUUAUUUCUGUGUGUUUUUACCAAUAGUUGUUCUCAGGAAAUCAUCUCCAACCUCUCAACUUUCUCUGUCUCCAUAUGCAAAUGCCAGGUAUAAGUAGCACUCACAGGUAGGUCUGCAGAGGCUUUUGCUGUAGUUCACGACUGUGAUACAAAGGGCAGGUUUCAGAAAGAAAGCCUAAGCAACAAGGAAUAGGAAAGGUUCAGAAAAAAAAUCUAUUCAGAGAAGAAAGAAUGAAAAAGGGAUAUAUGCAGAAGCUGGAGGAUUUAUGAUCUAUAAGUUAAGGAAAAUUGGUCAAUUGAGCUUAGAAAAUAAGUAGCAGCAUGGAAAAUAUGGAGAUUCAGGGACAAAUGUGCUUUUGAUAAGUAUUUUGGGAAGCAACAUCUGUGUCAAAGUGCAUCCCACAUGGCCAUGACAUCUUGGAGUUACAUAUGUGUGGAAAAGAGACAAAGGAACUCCUGAAGAAGCAGAAGGCAACAGAAGUUUCAGAUGGAUGCCAAGAUCUGGCAGGAUUUUGGUGCUCUGAAAAGAAAAACAGUAUUUGGUAGCUUGUUAGUGUCUAUUCAAGGAAUGUUAGAAUUGUUCUUUCAUAAAAAUAAAUGGAAUUACGGAGAAGAUAACUGAAGGAAUUAUCAACUUCUCUUUCAAGCUAAAACCAUCUCCAGAGUGAUUACACCUAAUUUUAAAAAUAAAUAGAUUAUUUUUCCAUGCAAAUUAUUUAAUUCUAAUUUAAAGAGCAAGACAACAAUUUGGAACAUUUGCAACCUGGCAAGCCCAUCGUCUAUGUCAGAAAACAUGUACAUAAUCCGCUCAUAGAUACUGGCGCUAGUUACUCAGGCACAGACUGCUGUUUGAGUUCAAAUUGAAAACACAAAGAAAACGUAUUUGGUAGCUAUAGUUCUGCCACAAUUCAUUCAGAGUUCUAAUGCAGAUAGGCACAGGUAAUAUGGGCCUCACGAAAACAUUGUAUCUGAACAGCGAAUGAAAUAUCCCAUGAGUGCUUUACUCACACACCCUUAGUUAGGGUUGCUUUACUCAAAGAGAUGAAUUUGUUUGUGACACAAGUUUCCUCAUCUUCUCAAAAUAUAAGGAAAACCCAGACUUGUGCUGAGUGCCACCUUGUAAGACACAUGGUUAAAGUGGUUAUAAAUUCUUAUUUGCACAUAAUGGCCCAUCUAGUGAGGCUACUAACAAUAGCUGUGGUGUGUCAGUAAACACCUGGAUUAAAUUUGACUACUUCAGUGGUGCUAAGCCUGUAACAGUGCUCUCAAUAGUAGAUGCUGGGCACACUGGAGCACCUUUACAAAUUACAUCAUGCUUUCAGUCCCAGAAGAAUGACAAAGUUCUGUAGAAAAAUGUUUCUCGGUUUGGUAAUCUAAAGGUUUUGUGUUGUCUUUAUUUUUCUUUUUAAGCUUGUUCCACCAUGAUUAGUACAUUUGAACACCACCAUUUUCCAGACAAUUCCUUGAUUGAGUUGGGGACCAUGUUAGUUCUCCCCAUGACCCGUCAGAGAUAAAGAAUUUGUUUACUGUAAAUUCCUCACCACUUACUCCUAUGCACCAUCUGCCACUCUUACCCACAAAGAGCUGCAUUCCUAAUAAUAGCUCUUUUGACUUGAGGAAAGCAAUACAAGAUAUUUCAUGUACAAGCUUGGGAUAUAAUUGCAAUUUUAAUCUCCUACCCUUACAUAUAAAUCCUUAGUGUCAAUGAAUAAACUUAUUUUAGAUUUCACACUUUUAUGUGACAGCUGAAGUUUUGCAUCAUCAUGGUAAGUAAUGAAGAGGGUACAAACUUUUCCAUGAACUUGUUCCAGCUGAGCCUAUCUGUAUGUUUUUACUUAAUUAGAAAAUUAAUGCUUUUUAACCAGUAAUAGCAUUUUUCUUGUCACAUAUCUGUGAGGUCCUGUUUUAAGAACAGGGAAAAAAGGACCUUGCUAGCACAUUGUCCCUCAAAAGUUGGUGUGCAGCCCCCAGGCUUACAUCUAGUGAGUCUUGUUUUAUUCCUUUGUCCCUUCAAAUAUAGUUUAAAGUGCUUUCAAUGUCCUGCUAACUCCUGAGCAAAAAACCUUUUCUCCCUUUGAGACAAAUUUUCGUAUAAUUUUAUUUGAAUUCCAGACUUUCACCAUCUUUCUUAGCACUCUUUUAGAAGUGUCUGUCUAGAGGUGUCUUUCUGUCUUUCUUUUAAUCUUUAGGAUGCUCUUGUUCACCAAGUAUCUUUUCUUCAUUUAUUUCAUGAGUCUUUGUGUUCAGCAUUGUCCAGGACUGUACAUUGUAUAUAACUCCUUUACUGGAAGUAAUUUAAUUCACUGGGUAUGUGUCAUGAAGGGAAUAUUUUUUUCUUUCCUAUGUAAUGGAACAUUAUCAGCAAAUCUUUCUGUAUCUUAGUAUUUUCAUAGAAUCACUGCAUUCAUCCUUUAUAUGUAUUUUUCCUCUGAAGAGCCACAAAUACAGGUCUUCACACAUAUUAAAUUAAUACCUUCUUCUUUUCAGAAUUCGGUUUUCUAAGUUCAAGUAAUCAGUAGGAGUUAAAUAAAAUACCAUUAUUAAUACAGGUUCCUAUUGCAUGUACAUGGUGUUUAAUUAAUUUCUUUGCUUUAAGAACAAAAUGUUAAAACAGGUGUAAAGACCAAAAAAUUUGUCAGCCUUCACAUCAAAUGGAACUCAAUGUCUAUCACACCACCUGUUUUCAAGAACCUAAGAGCCAUAAAUGAAGGUAAACAAAAUAUGCGUCCCAGUUUUAUUGUUAUUUUUUAAGGUCUUUUCCUAUAUAUUUUUCAAAGCAUCUGUGUCAGUGGUCUCUGGGCUCAUUACACUCUUGUGGCUUCCAUUCCUAUUUUCAUCACAUAAUGACUGAGGACUGGUUAAGGCCCCUGAUUGAGAAACCUAUCUCUGUAUCUUAAGCAUCUUCCUUACAAAAUAUCCACUGUUCUGCCUUCAAAAAGUGAUUGCUUUGUUUAUAAGAAUCCUUCACGAGUUAUCAGACAUUGCUUUACAGGUAAAUUUAUCUUGUAAAGACUUCAAAGGUGUGUUCUUCUAGAGCAUUGUUCCCAGUAAAUGCAAGUAAUGUUGGGAACACAGGUGAAAAUUGCGAGACACAGUCCUUUAUUGCCUUUUUCAGCCUCUUAUUCUUGAAUUAUGACAGCUCUUCAUUAAUUUAGAGUCUCUUAUUUCCAUUUUUUAAAAACAGGAAUAAUAUCAAAUUCUGAGAUUAUUUACAUAAUCAAAGCUAAUUUGGUCAAAUUAUUCAAGUGUGGCUACUACUGACUACUAAGUCAGCAAUGCUACUUAAGAGGAAUUUAAAUAUUGAUGAAGCCUGACAAUUUUGGCUUUGUAUUAACUUUUAUAUUGCAUUAUUAAGAAACCCAUCUUCCAAAUCAGAAUUCUCAUCUUUUUAAGCUCUACUAUUGAAAAGUCAUAAUAAAAUUUUAUUUAAUUUUUUAAUGCUAUUAAUAUUAAUCUAUGUUAUUUCCUUAUUCUGUUCCUAGGUUUGUUAUUUGUAGAUAGUAUGGCUGAUAUGUGAAUGCCUACCCUUUUAUUUUUGUCUGUUAGUAAAGUAGUUGUAUUGGUAAGUGACAAACUAUAACAUAUUUUUAAGGCAUUUGUCUUUGGAAGACUGUGUAGUUUGAAUAUACAUGGAAGACUAAAAGCAGCCUAUUUAAAUAACAAUCAGCAAAAUUUUACAUGUAGCCACAUGCUCAUAUAUGUUGAACUGUGUAAUUAAACAGCAAAAAAACCCAAAUAAAGCAAUUCAAUGACAGAAGGAUUCAUACAUACAUAAUCCUAAUAAAAUAACUUUUCCUACCAUUAACUUUUUG